ensembl:rRNA 5S_rRNA 5S ribosomal RNA
GUCUAAGGCCAUACCAUCCUGACACGCCCGAUCUCAUCUGAUCUCAGAAGCUAAGCAGGGUCAGGCCUGUUUAGUACUUGGAUGGGAAAAAUAAUAACAGGAAAAACUAGAUA